GAUGCUCCGCCAUAUUUCUACAGAAGCCCAGAACGGACAAACCAAACACUGGCUCUAGAGAGAGCCUUUCAAGUUUUUUCGUUACCUGAAGGCAACCGUGGUUCUUCGACACACCUGUAAAACUGCGGUAACUAGUAGUAGUAACUACUAAAGCUG